CGGCAGUGAAAUGUAAAUUAGAAUGUCCAGUCGUGGACAUGGCUCGAAUUUACAGGAGCUGCUGACAUUUCUCAGCGGAGGUGAUGAUGGAGAACACAAAUAUAAAAAAAAAGCAUCAAGAAGAAAUGUCUCUUCGUGCAACUUGGAAAUAUUGAUCCAUGUCAUGGCUAAUCAAGCUAUUAAGCCAAUAUGAAUCAAGGGUAGCUUGAAGCAUCCACCUCAAAGAGCUCUUGGUCAUCUAGAGACACAAAGGACUGCACAUGCUGGAAUCUAGAUGAAAAACAUGAUGAUGCUGGAAGAACUCAGCAGGCCAGGCAGCAUCCGUGGAGAAAAGCAGACGAUCGAUGGUUCAGGUUCCUCUGAAGCACCUUGGGACAUUUUGCUAUGUUGAAAGGAAAAACAAGUUGUUGCUGUUAUUGUCGAUAGCUCACCCGAAAAAUCAAGGUUCCUACCCUCUUACAUCAAGGAUUCUUUCUUUAAUUACAAGUGCUCAUUUUGAGCAGAAAUAAUCAUCAUGCUUGUAGAGCUGCUGCCUCACAGAUCCAGUGACUUGGGUUCAAUCCUGACCUUUCGUGCUGUCAGUGUGGAGUUUGCACAUUCUCCCUGGAACUACAUGAGUUUCCUUUGGUUGAUCUGUUUCUUUCCGCAUUGCAAAGAUGUUCAGAUUGGUAGGUAACUUGCCAAUCGUGUGAAGGUGAGUGGUAGAAUCUGUGGGGGGUUGGUGGGAAUGUAGGAAG